CCUACGGGUGGCAGCAGUAGGGAAUAUUGCUCAAUGGGGGAAACCCUGAAGCAGCAACGCCGCGUGGAGGAUGAAGGUUUUAGGAUUGUAAACUCCUUUUGUGAGAGAAGAUAAUGACGGUAUCUCACGAAUAAGCACCGGCUAACUCCGUGCCAGCAGCCGCGGUAAUACGGAGGAUGCGAGCGUUAUCCGGAUUUAUUGGGUUUAAAGGGUGCGUAGGCGGUCCGUUAAGUCAGCGGUAAAAUUGCGGGGCUCAACCCCGUCGAGCCGUUGAAACUGGCAGACUUGAGUUGGCGAGAAGUACGCGGAAUGCGCGGUGUAGCGGUGAAAUGCAUAGAUAUCGCGCAGAACUCCGAUUGCGAAGGCAGCGUACCGGCGCCAGACUGACGCUGAGGCACGAAAGCGUGGGGAUCGAACAGGAUUAGAUACCCCGGUAGUC
rnacentral:rRNA from 1 species